AGUGAACGCUGGCGGCGUGCCUAAUACAUGCAAGUCGAACGGAGUGGCGCACGGGUGAGUAAUAUAUAGCUAAUCUGCCCCUUGCUGGAGGACAACAGUUAGAAAUGACUGCUAAUACUCCAUAGCAAGGGAUGGGACUAUAUCGUAUCAGCUAGUCGGUGGGGUAACGGCCUACCGAGGCUAUGACGCGUAACUGGUCUGAGAGGAUGAUCAGUAGAAUUGGAACGGAGACACGGUUCAAACACCUACGGGAGGCAGCAGUAGGGAAUAGUGCGCAAUGGGCGAAAGCCUGACGCAGCAACGCCGCGUGGAGGAUGACAAUUUGCGGAGCAUAAACUCCUUUUGAUAGGGAAGCGGUACCUAACGAAUAAGCACCGGCUAACUCCGUGCCAGCAGCCGCGGUAAUAC
rnacentral:rRNA from 1 species